GGAUGUGAGGGUGAUCUGGCUGCAACAUUUGUCACCCCAUUGAUGGCCAGGGUUGAUUCGGCUGAUCUGGCUGGCUAGGCAGGUAUCCCCUUCUUCCCUCACUGCUCCAUGUGUGUCCCUUUCGAAGCUGUGCGCUCGGUCGAAGAGGACGGCCUUCCCCGAAUAUAUGUCUGUGUGUAAGAGGGAGAGAGAUGUAUGUAGGACUUCUCAUGUAAUUCUGUAGACAUUUUUAUGUAUUCUUUACAU
rnacentral:snRNA from 1 species